GAUGAAGAACGUAGCGAAAUGCGGUAAGUAAUGUGAAUUGCAGAAUUCAGUGAAUCAUCGAAUCUUUGAACGCACAUUGCGCCCGCCAGUAUUCUGGCGGGCAUGCCUGUCCGAGCGUCAUUUCAACCAUCAAGCCCCGGGCUUGUGUUGGGGACCUGCGUCCGACGCAGGCCCUGAAAACCAGUGGCGGGCUCGCUGUCCACACCGAGCGUAGUAACUAACCUCGCUAUGGAGUGGCGCGGGCGCCUGCCGUAAAACCCCCAAUUUCACAAGGUUGACCUCGGAUCAGGUAGGAAUACCCGCUGAACUUAAGCAUAUCAAUAAGCGGAGGA
rnacentral:misc_RNA from 1 species